UCCAUCUUGUGGUUUCAUUGUCUUAAUACAAGGUCCUAAAGGAGAAGAAAGAGAAAAAGGCACACCCAUCCUUAACCACAUCAGCCCAGAAGUAGUUACUGUUUCCAUACCAUCGGGACUUCCAUUCUAUUCACAAGAACGAAUCACAUGGCCACAUCAAAUGCAAGAUGACCUGAAAAUAUAGAUCCUGACCAGCAACCAUGAAAAAAAACUGCACCCUGUGUAUGAAGACACAGGUAAAGGGGAGGCUUUCUCCAUGGGGGAGCCUUUCUCUACCACAUGGGAAGAGAGUUCACUGAACACUGAAGAAGGAGGUGAAGCCAGAUGCUCCUUUUCAUGACUCUUCUGAAAGUUAUAGAUCACGAUGCAGUGUUAGUCAAUCAGAAGGACCCAACUGAGAUUUUUAAUCUGGAACUGGCAGAUCAAGGAAAAGGAACAGGGGAGAAUGACUUCUGGAUACAGUGGCAUUAUGUACAAUGCAGCGGCAGCAGCCAGGGUCUUUUGCUGGUGACGGCAGCUGUGGACUGUGGCACCCCACACUCAACUAUCCUCUCCCAAUGAUGAGUCUUAGAGUCAUUAGGACUUCUUGAAUGCUAUGGCAGUGAGUGAAAAUUCACUGAAGAAGCUCCAAAAUCAUUUCAAGAAAUUGGCAGCAUCAAAGGAGCAAGUGCCACGUCUUCCGAGGUCACCUGAUCUUAAACAAGCAAGCAAGAAACUAUAAGAAUAUUCCAGAUGUCAACAAAAAUAACAAAGGACAAGGGAAGACAGAGGAAAUAUUUUAGCCAAAUGCAAAAAAAAAAAAAAAAAAUGAUAAGAGCAAAACCAAUGAAAGUUAAGAGAACUCAAUGGAAAGCUGUCUUGUGAGUUCACAACUGUGUGUUAACAUUAAUGAAGCAGACAAGUUGUGUCAAUUCUUAUAUGCAACUAUAAGACCACAGACAGGUUGAAUUAUUUGGCUAAGGGAUAUUUCUUAAUAAAAUGUCUGUUGGUUUGGUUGUGGUGUUAUUGAAAAGUAACCUGGGCAAUAGUUGUACAAUGGGCUCAAUAUAAGCCCAUUGUUUGCCAAAUAAUUUAAUAACUUAUCUUUAGAGCCAGGUUACCAGAGAGACAGUGAAAACAAUAGUGAAGGUCAAACUUUUUUUUUAAACUUUAUCAAUAACCAGUAUAAAAAGACAAACCAAACAGUAUUGUCCUGUCUCAUGGAAACCCCCUAAGAAUAAAAUGAAUCACAGUCAGAACUGUUUAUUGAACGUACAGCCACAACUCUGAACAACUCAUCGCUUUGAAUUAAAACACCUUUUUUCUAGAUCUCAAGUAUAUUAACUCAGUAAAGAAUUCAAAAAAUUUUAAUCCAUGGGCAAAUUGAUAGGAGCCUGAGGGAGGAUGGGAACUUGGGUGUCCCUUUGGGGCUUGCUGUGUCGCCUCGGCAGGAGAAAAGGUAUCAGGGUGCAAAACUGAGGACCACAACAUAGGUUUGCCCCUCGAAUCUGGGAGUUGCUGCCAUACCGCAGGGGCUUCCUGCACAGGGAGUGCCUGCACAGUUCCAGGUCAAGGAGAAUGACAGAGGAUCCCUGCACUCUGACACAUCAACAGAGUAGAGGCCCCAAAGCCUACCUGCCAGGUGCAGAAGGGGUCAAAGGUCACCAUUCCAGAAAAAGCAUGAGAUCGCAGGUCAAAAACCUGAAACCUAGAGAAUCUAUUUCCUCACUACCCUCAGAACAUAGUCUCUCCCCUAUAUCCAUCUGUUCUGUUGGGGGGCAGAGGGGAAUGAUUUGGGGUGUAAAAAAUGAAGAAUGUGAAAAGACCAAGUUACUUAAAAAGAAUUUCCAGAUGAACGGUUGAAGAUUAGUUCCCAAAACUGAUGAGGGCUUUUGGAGAAGAUCUAAUAAGUGAGGGGGAAAUGUUUUUUUAAAAAAUCUGCAUUUCCUUUGCUCUCAAGAUGAAAGUCAGUGUGAGAACUUUUGUGAUGUCAUUUCCUUUGCCCUUUUCUACUCCAUCAAUUUUGAAAGCAAAUCUCCAUUGCCUUAAAAUGAAGGAAAGCAGGGUGCCCCAUACCCACUGUCUGAGACAACCACAGGGGAUUCUCCUUCUGCUUAAGUUCAAAACUUCUUCCACAGUUUCUUUACAUUAUUUUUCAUAUUUUCAAUUUGCAUUUGGUUUGGACAUUUCAACAUUUGUUGAAAUGACUAAACAUGUUUUUAAAUACUGUCUUCUUGGCCCUAUUCACACCAGCACCAUUGGGACCAGCACCUUUUCUGCUGACAUUUGAAAGCAGUAAGAUAGCUCCAAGACUGAAAAAAAGCGUUUUUCCUGUAAUCUUGAAAAGUUUAGUUGCCAAGGAGACAGAAGCCUUAGCGACCAGGUAAGAAGCCCUUGGCCAUAUAUAC